AUGGACGCGGGGAGCGCCGUCGAGGCGGGGCGGCAGGAGGGGACUCCCACGGGGCCCGCGGCGCCGUUCGGCAGGUCGUCGUCGUCGUCGGGUCUCGGCGCGAAGGGCGGCGCGACACCCCAGAGCUUCGACGGCGCGCUCAGAGAGCUCAAGGAUCUGCAGUCGCAGCUGCACCAGGCGGCGGACUGCUGCGAGAAGGCGUUCCUCAACACCGAGAAGAAGCAGCUAAUCCUGGACAGUACAAAGAGCUACAUCUGCGACGCGGUAGUAGCGGUGAUCGAUCAUCUGGGGACCGUCUCAUCCAAGCUUGAGCACCAGCUGGAGGACAAGGCUGAGAUCACGCAAACAGAGCAAAAGAUCAGCUUCCUCAAGCAGAGGCUCUUGACAUGCGAACAGUAUGCAAUUUCCCUCCAACUAUUGGCCGUUCGUGCGGACACUGGCGCCGUUCAAUAUCAUCGCCGUUACCUCUCGCAAUCUACUGAAAGAAACAACCAGGAAAAUGUUGCCAAGUCAAGCAGAGGUGACCCAGAACCCUUCAAGCUCAAUAGCACAGUGGCGCCAGGAGCUACUCGCACUCUGAAGCCAUAUGAUGUUGAAUCAACCAUGGGGAGGGAGCAUGCCGUGGCGGGUGCAGACGUUGGAAACCCAGCAUCCAUAACGAGGUCAUUUUCCUUCAGAGCAGAGGAUGUUCAAAUUGCUGCAGGGGGUCAUCACAAGAAGAAGAAGAAAAGUAGCCAUGGCAGCAACAUCAUGUCAUUUCUCAAAAGAAGCAAGCGACAUGCGUAA
rnacentral:rRNA from 1 species